GCAAACCUGUAACAACCCAAAUAUCUUAAGCAGGUUUAAGUAAAAGCUAGUUAUUUGUUUUAAAUUAAUCAUGAUAUUCUAGUAUACCUUGAUGUAUUUUGUUAAACAAAUUGAGUUUUUAAACAGAAAGGAUAAAAAAAAAUUAAAAAAAAUGUUGCACCUUCUGUGGCUUAUGUUGGGAAUGCCACGUUAUUUCUUUAUUAUCCAAUUUUCACAACUCCUCAUUAAAGAUAGAAGGAACUCAUAGUCUCAUACCCAAUUUCCUCCUUAUUCAUUCACGGUGAUAUCUCUCAAUCCUCUGUUUUGUCCGUCAAAUUCAAGCAGCAUACUCUCAUUUUUUGGUCUUUAUUCCUUCAUCAAAGUUGUAGAUCUCUUCGAGUUAUUAAAUUUAGGCUCAAAAAUUUCUUCAAUCGGAGUUCGGAGCUAGGAGUUAUGAUCUCUGGAAGUUGUAGUUGUUUGCUGCCACUAUUUCAGCGUUUCUCUCUCUCCUCUUCUUCGUGGAUGCUGCUGCCACCUGAUUUGUUGGUGUUGUGGCUGUUGCAUGUUGUUGUUGUCAAUGAAUUCUUUCUUUUGCUUCUGUCCCAUCGGUGCUGCUACUGUUUUCCGGUCCUCUUCGCCGGCGAGCUACCACCAUCGAUGUUGUGCGCAUCGUGUUGAUUGGCUGAAUUAAGUUCUUGUGUCUUGUUGUUUGUGAAUUCCAAAAUCAGGUAUAACAAUUAAGUUUUCAUAUAUAUGAUUUCCUAAAGAUAUAAUUAUUGUUGUUUCAUUCAAUUCAAAUUGUUAAAGCUGAUCAUGAUUUAUGUUGGUAAACUUUUAUUUUACAUUGCAGCUUCCAAAUUACUUUGUUCUGUCAGGAAGUUUUAAGUAUAUUUGUAUACUUAUAAACAAUAACCAGUUUUAAGAGAAGAUGUUUUUAAUUCAGAAUAUAGUGGAACUAAUAAUCAAGAUGGAUAUCAUGUUCCAAACAAGUAACUUGCUGUGUUUUCUUUUCAAUGGAUUCAAGUGAGUUUUGUAAGAGCAAUUUGAUGAUCUUGUUACGAAAAUCAGAUAUGAUAAAAGUUUGUUCAACUUAAAGAUUAAAUCUUUCCUAUUUAUUUAAUGGGUUGGGUUGAGGUUUAUAAAUUGUAUUUAUAUUUCUUAAGUUAGUUUAUGAAAUCAAAUUAUCAUAAGCCAUGUUGUUUGAUAGUAUCCUCUGUGAUUAGAAUGAGGUUAAUUGGAGUUAGAGAUUGAUAUAGUGAAUUGGAUUAGUAGAAUGGUUUGUAAAUAAGGAGUUAUGGGUAGUUCAUGAAAGAGGUUAGAAGGUAUUAGAAAGUUAAUUUCUUUAUCUAAUUGGUAGUAAGGAUGUUAAUUGUUGUUCAUAUUGUUGUGAGGUGAUUGUUGGAGAUUGAUAAAGAAUUUAGAGAUGUCGGACCCUUGAAGAUUAUAAUGGAAUCGAGCGUUCUUUGGGGAAAUGAAGGAGAGUUCAUUGUUAGUGAUCUUGCAGGUUCGUAUGUGGAAAGCUCGGAAUGGAGUAAAAGGAAGAAUUUAAGUAUCAAGGUUAUAAUGAGAUGUAAGGGUUCUGAGGUUGUAUUUGGGAUUAUUUAUCCUUAUUUAUGAAUAAAUUAUUAUAUUGCUUUAAGAGUCGAGCAAGGUAUUAUGUAAUAUGUUAUUUGGUUAUUGAGGAUGAUUUGCUGUGGGCCUGACCCACAAGUCCAGGAUCGUUUUAUAGAUUAUGUUACAGGGAAAUCGAAUGAGAGGAGCACUUUUUUUUGGAGAUCAAGUGGAAGGCUACAAAGAAGCUUUUGUGUACAAGGGGGAGUACGAAAUAGCCAACGCUCCAAUAAAACCCGUAGAAGAGCAGUUCAAAUCCUCCUCCUCUGAACUUGAUUACCAAAUGAGCUUUGGAAGACAGACAGUAAUUCAACCAAUCAAUUCUGAAGCUAAUCCUGUUCUGCCAGAGUACCAGACCAUAUCUUCGAUUCCAAAAGCCUGUGAUCCUUCUGAGAAAUUUGAUAUCCUUGGUGUGGUACUUUAUGUUGAAGAAGAAGCAAUGACUAUUUCAAUGCCCCAAGGACGUGAUAAUCUUGUCCGCGAGAUUGUUAUAACCAACCACAGCACUCAACAACCGCUUAUCAUUUCUGCUUGGAAUGAUCUCGCCGGGGCAUAUUGUGAUCGCCUCUCAACUUGGGUUGCAAAAUUCAAUAUAAUUGGAUUCACGGCCUUAAAAGUCACAUCUCAUAAAGGAUUCUCACUUGCAUCAACCAUGUCUACUACAAUUAUUCAUGAGGCUAACGGAGAUAGAGCAGCUGCCCUUGCACAAUGGGAAUUGCGUCACAGAGACACCCUGGCUGAUAGGCAAACAAGAGUCUUAGAUGUAAGGAACACAUCAAAAGAAAGGCAGGGCAUGACAAUCUGUGCACUAAAGGAAAAAAAGGCCAGAUAUAUUACUUAUCACAUUAGUAAUUUGAACAUUCACUUGCCAUUAUUAUUAUUUGAUAGCAUCAUCACAUAAUAUAAUAGCCUUAAAAAUGACCGCCCUGUUGUAGUCCGAAAACAAUACAUUAUAGGAAUACUUAAUUAAUUUGAAUACCCAUUCUUAACGUGGUUAUGUGUGUAAUUUAAACUAGGUUGUUAACACACUCCAAGACGAACGACAAUUCUUGAGAGUAGUGGUCCCUGAACCUAGCUUUGAAAAAUUGCACGCAUACCUAGGUUGCUCUAACUGUAACAAGCGAACUGAUGUGUCAGCAGGGGAGACACACACAUGCUUUAAUUGUGGACAAAAAAAUGUCAUUUCCAUCCCUAGAGUUUCUUUCAACUACGACGUCUCUGACGGAAGCGCCACGCUCCCAGUUACAAUAUUCAACAAGGAUUUGGAAAAACUUUUCAAAUUACCGGUUGAAGACAUCUUUUGUUGGUUAUGUAAUUUGCAGCUUCUUUUGUUGGUUAUGUUCAUACAAGUCCCAGUAUAAUAUCUAUGCUUUCCCUUGGUUAUA